rnacentral:rRNA from 1 species
UACAGAGACCUCAAACGUUAUCCGGAUUCAUUGGGCGUAAAGCGUCCGCAGGUGGUUUUAUAAGUUGGUGGUUAAAUCCUGAGGCUUAACUUCAGGACUGCUGUCAAAACUGUAAGACUUGAGGGUGGGAGAGGUAAUCGGAACUGCCGGUGUAGUCGUAAUAAGCGCUGAUAUCGGCAGGAACACCAAAGGCGAAGGCAGAUUACUGGAACACACCUGACACUCAUGGACGAAAGCGUGGGGAGCGAAUAGG